UCCUUCUUUUCUAAUCCAAUGAUUGUCAGAUUUCAUAUUGCUUGUUGCUACCUAAUCUUAUGCCUAAGGUCGGAGGUGAUCUCUUUGGCCUGGGUGGCAAAGCUGUGUAGGGGUGAUGAUCUCCGAUAGCCGACCCAAGACCUAGAAAAAAGUUCAAUUAAAAUAUUUUUCAACGAGGAUCCUCCAACGCUCAAGUUAGGAGAUGGAGAAAAAGUAGAAUAAAAAUAUUUUUGAGAGCUUAUCUUGGGAUCCCCACUUCUCUCUCUAUUUAUUGAGGGGG
rnacentral:lncRNA from 1 species